rnacentral:rRNA from 1 species
CGUAGGGUGCGAGCGUUAAUCGGAAUUACUGGGCGUAAAGUGUGCGCAGGCGGCCGCGCAAGUCGAGUGUGAAAGCCCCGAGCUUAACUUGGGAACUGCGCUCGAACUACGUGGCUGGAGUGUGGCAGAGGAAGGUGGAAUUCCAGGUGUAGCGGUGAAAUGCGUAGAGAUCUGGAGGAACACCGAUGGCGAAGGCAGCCUUCUGGGCCAACACUGACGCUCAUGCACGAAAGCGUGGGGAGCAAACAGGAUUAGAUACCCUGGUAGUCCACGCCCUAAACGAUGAUGACUAGUUGUUGGAGGAGUUAAAUCCUUUAGUAACGCAGCUAACGCGUGAAGUCAUCCGCCUGGGGAGUACGGUCGCAAGAUUA